GAUCAUGGCUCAGGAUGAACGCUAGCGACAGGCUUAACACAUGCAAGUCGAGGGGCAGCGAGGGAGUGGCAACACUUCCGUCGGCGACCGGCGCACGGGUGAGUAACGCGUAUGCAACCUGCCCUUCACAGGGGGGAUAACCGGGAGAAAUUCCGACUAAUACCGCAUACGUCCUCCGGAGGUAUCCCCGGGGGAUGAAAGAAUUAUCGGUGAAGGAUGGGCAUGCGUGAUAUUAGGUAGUUGGCGGGG
rnacentral:rRNA from 1 species